rnacentral:lncRNA from 1 species
AUACACAUGGGUCAAAGCUACGGUUUUGGGAAGAGAAGACCUUUGUAAUUGUUACAUAAAGGCCCAUUAGGGGUGCUUAGUAAUUAGAGUAGUGUAGAAAGCAUAUUUGUGUGAACAUUCUAGAAAGACCAUGGAGGGGGGGGGGUGAGCAUAAAAACUAGACACACCCCUCCCCAUGUGCUCAUUUGUGCACCCAUGUGCCAUGUGCACCCAUGUGCUUCACUUUUUCAUUUCAUUUGGCUAGCAUUAGGGUUGCAUUAUGGUCCUCCUUAGCCUAUAAAAGGAGGAGCCUACACCUUGUAUUUCAAGUUUAUUGUGAGUAAAGUUAUG